rnacentral:lncRNA from 1 species
GUCUCCACAUCAUGGGCAACCCAGAGAGGUGUGCCUUUGGAGGACAUAUGUGCUGCGGCCACAUGUGCAUCACCGAGCACAUUCUCCAGGUUUUACAGGAUGAAUGUCGCCACCCCUCAUCCAUUAGCCGCGGUUCUUCUGCAGAGUCCUGAGGCCCACAUCUCCUCUGUUACAGAAACUAUAUAUUCAUCAGUGUGUUGUGUUGCAACAUUUUGGCCCUCCAUUUCAGUAAGGAAAAGGCAGCGAGACAACUGAAAAGACUCAAACAUUGUAAACCCUAUAGUAGAGCUUUGCCUUCCAGCCAACCAUGUACAUACACAAAAGAAUAUCUCUAGAGAUGUACACUCUGCCCUCAGGCUGCCACAAAAGGUUCUGGGUUGAACUCUGGAUGUCUUCAAAUCCUUGAAUCAAACCUAAUCAUAACAUUUAAAAGGUUACGUACCGGCUAUGGACUUCAUGCACAAGGAAACGAUGUCCAUUAUGUUUGUGUUGUUUGUAGAAUUUACAUCAAUGCUGGACUAUAAGCUGUAAACUAAUGAUGGAAAUAGUUUCCUGUCCUCAGCAUGUGAUUUUAAUAGAUAUAGCUAUAUCUCAGAGUGUGAUAACAUCUCAGCAAUCUGGUUUUACCAAAUGCAUACAGAUCUAAAUUGUAGCAAACUUUUGAUUUCAUAGAGGUGCUGGCCCCAGACUGAGAAAUUGGAUUUGAGGACCUUGAGGGACUUUUUAUGUGGCAAAACAAAGAUUAUGCAUCUGCGGCUCAUCUAUUCAGUUAGUUCCCCCGUUUCUCUGCAAAAAGUAAUUAUAGCGAGUUCAAAGGUUUGAUACAUCGGUGUUAAAUAUUGUAUAGAGCUAUACAUUCUCUAAAAUGUAUUCUGUACAUGUCUUGCUAUAACAAUAGCAACACCAGCUGUAAUAGUUUUCUGUAAUGUGCAUUCCAUUUGCAACAAACUGUUAUCCAUUCCACAAAAUACCUCCUAUACAUAUGUAGAGCCAUGGAGCAAGCACAAUGUGACAGUCACACCUCUGCAGGGUUGCAGUCCUGCUCUGAUUAUUGUGUUUUUCUGAAAGAUGGCAUAUAACUUUGCUUUCCAAACAUAAUUCUCCAUUUUCUAUCUGUUUUUUUGCUGUGCAUAUUCAUGCUCUACCAGUGAAACUCCCUUUCCGGAGACCUGAUAACCUUCCUCUAUCACCAAAUACUGUUGUCUCUAGACAGCCAAGCUGUCUUUUUUCAUUUUCAUUUCACCUUGUGCUCAGGUAGACACUUUAUUUACAUGAUAUUUGUUGCCACAUUUAUAAGAUUGUCAUUAAAGUCCUUUGAAUGUAAAAUCCAACGAUUAUGCAAAAUGAUCG